UACGUAGGGGGCAAGCGUUGUCCGGAUUUAUUGGGCGUAAAGAGCUCGUAGGCGGUUUGUCGCGUCUGCUGUGAAAACCCGAGGCUCAACCUCGGGCCUGCAGUGGGUACGGGCAGACUAGAGUGUGGUAGGGGAGACUGGAAUUCCUGGUGUAGCGGUGGAAUGCGCAGAUAUCAGGAGGAACACCAAUGGCGAAGGCAGGUCUCUGGGCCACAACUGACGCUGAGGAGCGAAAGCGUGGGGAGCGAACAGG
rnacentral:rRNA from 1 species